rnacentral:rRNA from 1 species
CCUACGGGAGGCAGCAGUGGGGAAUUUUGGACAAUGGGCGAAAGCCUGAUCCAGCAAUGCCGCGUGCAGGAUGAAGGCCUUCGGGUUGUAAACUGCUUUUGUACGGAACGAAAAAGCUUCUCCUAAUACGAGAGGCCCAUGACGGUACCGUAAGAAUAAGCACCGGCUAACUGCGUGCCAGCAGCCGCGGUAAU